AGAUCAAAUUGUUGGUCGUGCCUCGGUACGUACUGGCAUUAUUGAUUUCUCCCUUCUGAAGAACCACGAUGUCAUUAAUUUGGUGUCGUGGGGAAUCAGGACUGUUGCUUUGAAAAAUUAGAGUGUUUAAAGCAGGCUCACGCUUGAAUACAUUAGCAUGGAAUAAUGAAAUAGGACGUUUGAUUCUAUUUUGUUGGUUUCUAGGAUCGACGUAAUGAUUAAUAGGGAUAGUUGGG
rnacentral:rRNA from 1 species